UACGAAGGGGGGCUAGCGUUGCUCGGAAUUACUGGGCGUAAAGGGCGCGUAGGCGGAUAUUUAAGUUGGGGGUGAAAUCCCGGGGCUCAACCUCGGAAUUGCCUCAAAACUGGAUAUCUUGAGUUCGGGAGAGGUGAGUGGAACUCCGAGUGUAGAGGUGAAAAUUCGUAGAUAUUCGGGAAGAACACCAGUGGCGAAGGCGACUCACUGGCCCGAUACUGACCGCUGAGGCACGAAGGCCAGGGGAGCAAAACGGG
rnacentral:rRNA from 1 species